GACGAACGCUGGCGGCGUGCUUAACACAUGCAAGUCGAACGGAAAGGCCCUGCUUGCAGGGUACUCGAGUGGCGAACGGGUGAGUAACACGUGGGUGAUCUGCCCUGCACUUCGGGAUAAGCCUGGGAAACUGGGUCUAAUACCGGAUAGGAGCCAUUUUUAGUGUGAUGGUUGGAAAGUUUUUUCGGUGUAGGAUGAGCUCGCGGCCUAUCAGCUUGUUGGUGGGGUAAUGGCCUACCAAGGCGGCGACGGGUAGCCGGCCUGGGAGGGUGGACGGCCACAUUGGGAACGGGAUACGGCCCAGACUCCUACGGGGGGCAGCAGGGGGGAAUAUUGCACAAUGGGCGCAAGCCUGAUGCAGCGACGCCGCGUGGGGGAUGACGGCCUUCGGGUUGUAAACUCCUUUCGCUAGGGACGAAGCUUUUUGUGACGGUACCUAGAUAAGAAGCACCGGCUAACUACGUG
rnacentral:rRNA from 1 species